rnacentral:rRNA from 1 species
UGACGCUGCGGCAGGCCUAACACAUGCAAGUCGAGCGGUAGAGAGGUGCUUGCACCUCUUGAGAGCGGCGGACGGGUGAGUAAUGCCUAGGAAUCUGCCUGGUAGUGGGGGAUAACGCUCGGAAACGGACGCUAAUACCGCAUACGUCCUACGGGAGAAAGCAGGGGACCUUCGGGCCUUGCGCUAUCAGAUGAGCCUAGGUCGGAUUAGCUAGUUGGUGAGGUAAUGGCUCACCAAGGCGACGAUCCGUAACUGGUCUGAGAGGAUGAUCAGUCACACUGGAACUGAGACACGGUCCAGACUCCUACGGGAGGCAGCAGUGGGGAAUAUUGGACAAUGGGCGAAAGCCUGAUCCAGCCAUGCCGCGUGUGUGAAGAAGGUCUUCGGAUUGUAAAGCACUUUAAGUUGGGAGGAAGGGCCGUUACCUAAUACGUGAUGGUUUUGACGUUACCGACAGAAUAAGCACCGGCUAACUCUGUGCCAGCAGCCGCGGUAAUACAGAGGGUGCAAGCGUUAAUCGGAAUUACUGGGCGUAAAGCGCGCGUAGGUGGUUCGUUAAGUUGGAUGUGAAAUCCCCGGGCUCAACCUGGGAACUGCAUUCAAAACUGUCGAGCUAGAGUAUGGUAGAGGGUGGUGGAAUUUCCUGUGUAGCGGUGAAAUGCGUAGAUAUAGGAAGGAACACCAGUGGCGAAGGCGACCACCUGGACUGAUACUGACACUGAGGUGCGAAAGCGUGGGGAGCAAACAGGAUUAGAUACCCUGGUAGUCCACGCCGUAAACGAUGUCAACUAGCCGUUGGGAGCCUUGAGCUCUUAGUGGCGCAGCUAACGCAUUAAGUGACCGCCUGGGAG